rnacentral:rRNA from 1 species
GACGAACGCUGGCGGCGUGCUUAACACAUGCAAGUCGAACGGUAAGGCCUUUCGGGGUCCUACGAGUGGCGAACGGGUGAGUAACACGUGAGCAACCUGCCCUUGACUUCGGAAUACCAGCUGGAAACAGCUGCUAAUACCGGAUAUGACCCUGGUCCUCCUGGACUGGGGUGGAAAGCUCCGGCGGUCAGGGAUGGGCUCGCGGCGGAUCAGCUUGGUGGUGAGGUAAUGGCUCACCAAGGCGUCGACGGGUAGCCGGCCUGAGAGGGCGACCGGCCACACUGGGACUGAGAGACGGCCCAGACUCCGACGGAAGGCAGCAGUGGGGAAUUGUGGACCAUGGGGGCAACCCUGAUCCAGCCAUGCCGCGUGCAGGAAGCAGGCCUUCGGGUUGGAAACCGCUUUUGUUCGGGAAGAAAUCCUCUGGGCUAAUACCCCGGGGGGAUGACGGUACCUGAAGAAUAAGCACCGGCGAACUACGUG